rnacentral:rRNA from 1 species
ACGAACCGUGCGAACGUUGUUCGGAAUCACUGGGCUUAAAGGGCGCGUAGGCGGGCUGUCAAGUCUGGGGUGAAAUCCCACGGCUCACCCGUGGAACUGCUGGGUAUACUGCGAGUCUUGAGCCACUUAGGGGCUGUCGGAACAGGCGGUGGAGCGGUGAAAUGCGUAGAUAUCGCCUGGAACGCCAAAGGUGAAAACAGACAGCUGGGAGUGUGCUGACGCUGAGACACGAAAGCCAGGGGAGCGAACGGGA